UAAUCUGUUUAUAGUAGAUCCUCAUCAAGUUAUAACAGAUUUAUAUCUAACUACUCAAAAUCAUCUAUUAUCUUAAGCGUUGCUAUAUUAAGAAACCAAAUCUAUCAAUGAGUAACAAAAGAACAUUAU
rfam:Populus trichocarpa scaffold_11_contig_630, whole genome shotgun sequence.